GCCGCGGUAGCUCAAUUGGCAGAGCAUCGCACGCCAAAUGCGAAGGUUGUGGGAUCGUUCCCCACCUACGGCA
rnacentral:tRNA from 1 species